ensembl:lncRNA
GGAAAAUCUAAAGGAGAUGAAAAGGAUGUUUCCACAACUAACACACAGAAACAUCUCAGAACAACUCUGCAACCAGCCUACAGAGCGUGCACAAGCUGCAGAACCUUGGUGUCUUCAACUGGUGUCCAGAUUAAACUAAAGUUAAAAGGAUGAUUAUGUAGAGUUCUUCAGAACUGGGUUGUACUUACUCACUUUAGCUAGGAUUCAUGCAGAACUUCAUAAUUAAACUGUAUGCUAAACUUGAAGUCCAAAAUGAAAGGAAUAAGGAAAAAUAUGACAAGCAAAAAAGCUACCAAUUUUUACUUCUGUGGCUCUCAGGCUGUCUUGGGCUUGUGUCUUCUCUUAGCUUGCUAUUGAAUCACAGAAUCACACAGAAUCACAGACUUGCAGACAUUGGAAGGGACUUCAAGUGGUCAUCAAGUCCAUCUCUCCCGCUAAAGCAGCUUCCCUACAAUAUGUCACACAGGUGGGUGACCAAAUGGAUCUUGAAUAUCUCUACUGAAGGGGACUCCACAACCUCCCUGGGCAACCUUUUCCAGAGCUCCAUCACCCUUUCGAAAAGAAGUUCUUCAGUGUGCUAGUAUGGAAUUUCCUAUGUACAAGUUUCAGGCCAUCUCUCCUUGUCCUAUCCCUAUGCAUCACCAAGAAGAGCCUGGCCUCAUCCAUUUGCCUCCCACCUCCCUUUAGAUAUGUAUAAAUGUUUGUCAAAUGUCCCCUCAGUCUUCUCUUCCCUGGGCUGUACAGGCUCAGGUCACUCCGCCUUUCUUCAUAUGGGAGAUGCUCCAGGCCCCUUAUCAUCUUUGUGGCCCUCCUCUGGACUCUCUCUAGGAGAUCCCUUUCUUUUUUGAGCUGAGGAGCCCAGAACUGGACACUGAAGCAUAAAUUAGGAAUGGAAAAUCAGUUAGAAAUAUAAAUGUAUAGAUUUAUUAUCAGUGUGAGCAUUUAAUUUGUUAGUAAAGACAAUUCUUUUUCCCAACCCUCCUUUGUAUAUUAUGCUCUGGUUUGGGGAUUUUUUUUUUUUUUGGUGGGUGGUUUUGUGGGUUUUUUUUCUUUUUU